rnacentral:lncRNA from 1 species
GUGCAUGACACUUUCCCAAAGAGGACGUCAUUUGUUGCUCACAGUAGCCGAGGGAAGGCUGUCCCCUGGUGUUCCCUCAAUGAUCCAGGACACAGGUCCCGGCAGCUUGAUGAUUCAUUUCCCACUUUUACAAAUCUCCCAGGAGUGCUAAACCGGAAAGGCGGUGAGAAGAGCAACCUGGUCUCUUUCGUGGUUAGUGGGCACCAGCGAACGGAUGGACGAGGGAAUGAGCGAAUGAAUGAAUGCAUACAAGCUGCUGUGCAGUCUUUGCCUUUGCUGAGAAGCCGUGAGCCCUUGAAAGCAAAUCCAUCACCUCUAAAUUCCAGGCCUGUGGAGUAGAGAAAGAGAAAUAAGGAGCCCGUCGUCUGAAUGAGCUUCCCUGAAGAAUAUGGAAGACGGGCAGAUUGUACAAGUGGACAAAUAUAGCACUGGGAGACUAUGAACUUGUGGUCUAAAACUGCAUUUAAUUAUUGUGACAUUUUAGACUUUGUAGGAAAUAGCAGCACCGAAGUGUGACUUUCAAAUUAGCAUUUGGAAGUGUCUGUGAGGUAGGUGAGGGUUUUAAGAAACUGUGGGGUUUUGAGCCUAAAAUUAUAUGACAUUUAUUCGCAACCACAAAAUUAGGUUGAUCGGUUAUUGUUCACAUUUGUCAGUUGGGGAGAAGAAUGGCAAUUAGGUUCAUCCCCACUAUAUGCAGAUUCGCCACCCUCAUAUAUAUAUAUAUAUAUUUUAAAGGACAGGCACAUCUUGAGCGCUCUCUCCUCUGUGCCUUGACCUAUGGCUGUUGAUGAGGCCGAACCCGAAAUGCAAAAUCUGAAGGAAGAGCCAUUUCGCCUUGUUAUAGGACAACGUCAGUGAUGCUUCCUCAGCCCCUUAAUUCAUUUCUUAUAGUUUUUCUUGUCACAUCCAGUUGCUUUAUAGCUUACUAACUUGCAAGUUAUAGUUGUAAUUUAUGGUCAAAAUUGAGUGGUAGCAAAUCAAGGAAUAUUUCCAUUGAUUACCCUAAAUUGUCUAAUCUCCUGUAUGUUUUUAGAACUUGAUUGGGUGGUAUUUACUGAUUGCCUUCAUCUAAUUUAAAAAUCAAUCAAUAGCAACAAUGAGGGCUGGAGGAUAAAUUGAGUCUAAUGCAGCAAAUAUCCAUCAGCGGUCUCUGCACAAUCACAUCUGUGGGCGGUUUUAAUACAUAAACCCAAACGGCCUGGAGCUGGGCGUCCGGGAUAGAGGCUCUGGAAAUUCCUGCUGGCAUCUCGGGGCCUCUCGUAUUGUCUAUUUAGGGUGAUUGCCCUCUGCUAAAGCAAACAUAUUUCACUACAAUAAAGCUGUAGCCAAGGAGAUAAAAACAGGAUCUGAUUGCAUUUCAAGGCUGGCUAGUCCAUCUUCUCCCCCCACACCCUGUGAGGAUAUUAAUGGGAAUUAACAUAACUCCAGGCUUUCCUUGUUAACUGUCUGCACUAUCCCAGAGAGAAACAGUCACACACUCAAGCGUUAAUUCAUGCCUUUGACACCCAAGUGAAUCUGUUUUUAUAUCCAUCCAAGGCUUUCUGGGCGUUUGCUGAGCGCCACACAUGGACCAGGGCGUUUGG